AUUGAACGCUGGCGGCAGGCUUAACACAUGCAAGUCGAGCGGGGUGAUGGUGCUUGCACUAUCACUUAGCGGCGGACGGGUGAGUAAUGCUUAGGAAUCUGCCUAUUAGUGGGGGACAACAUCUCGAAAGGGAUGCUAAUACCGCAUACGUCCUACGGGAGAAAGCAGGGGAUCACUUGUGACCUUGCGCUAAUAGAUGAGCCUAAGUCGGAUGAGCUAGUUGGUGGGGUAAAGGCCUACCAAGGCGACGAUCUGUAGCGGGUCUGAGAGGAUGAUCCCCCACACUGGGACUGAGACACGGCCCAGACUCCUACGGGGGGCAGCAGUGGGGAGUAUUGGGCAAUGGGGGGAGCCCUGAUCCAGCCAUGCCGCGUGUGUGAAGAAGGCGUUAUGGUUGUAAAGCACUUUAAGCGAGGAGGAGGCUCUUUUGGUUAAUACCCAGAAUGAGUGGACGUUACUCGCAGAAUAAGCACCGGCUAACUCUGUGCCAGCCGCCGCCGUAA
rnacentral:rRNA from 1 species